rnacentral:ncRNA from 1 species
UGUAAAGCGAUGAAAAAGAAUAGUACAUAGUUCCUUCAUUUUUAGAGAGUUUGUGGUCGGUGUAAACAAACAAUGAAGCCUAUGGAAUGGACUUUGGAGCUUUCAAGUGCAAAGCUUGAACGCUAAUUGGCGUUAUGUAAAUGAAGAUGAUUACUUUGUAAUCUAAUUAGGGUGGUACCACGGUUUAUGCGUCCCUAGC